CUGAUCCAGCAAUGCCGCGUGAGUGAAGAAGGCCUUCGGGUUGUAAAGCUCUUUUGUCAGGGAAGAAACGGUGUUUCCUAAUACGGAAUGCUAAUGACGGUACCUGAAGAAUAAGCACCGGCUAACUACGUGCCAGCAGCCGCGGUAAUACGUAGGGUGCAAGCGUUAAUCGGAAUUACUGGGCGUAAAGCGUGCGCAGGCGGUUUUAUAAGUCUGAUGUGAAAUCCCCGGGCUCAACCUGGGAACUGCAUUGGAGACUGUAAGGCUAGAGUGUGUCAGAGGGGGGUAGAAUUCCACGUGUAGCAGUGAAAUGCGUAGAUAUGUGGAGGAAUACCGAUGGCGAAGGCAGCCCCCUGGGAUAACACUGACGCUCAUGCACGAAAGCGUGGGGAGCAAACAGGAUUAGAUACCCUGGUAGUCCACGCCCUAAACGAUGUCUACUAGUUGUCGGGUCUUAAUUGACUUGGUAACGCAGCUAACGCGUGAAGUAGACCGCCUGGGGAGUACGGUCGCAAGAUUAAAACUCAAAGGAAUUGACGGGGACCCGCACAAGCGGUGGAUGAUGUGGAUUAAUUCGAUGCAACGCGAAAAACUUACUACCUUGACAUGGAAGGAAUCCGAAGAGAUUGGGAGUGCUCG
rnacentral:rRNA from 1 species